AGAGUUUGAUUCUGGAUCAGGAUGAACGCUAGCGACAGGCUUAACACAUGCAAGUCGAGGGGCAUCACGGGAGUAGCAAUACAACGUGGUGGCGACCGGCGCACGGGUGAGUAACGCGUAUGCAACCUACCUAUCAAGAGGGGAAUAACCCGGCGAAAGUCGGACUAAUACCGCAUAAAACAGGGGCACCGCAUGGUGAUAUUUGUUAAAGAAAUUCGCUGAUAGAUGGGCAUGCGUUCCAUUAGGUAGUUGGUGAGGUAACGGCUCACCAAGCCGACGAUGGAUAGGGGAACUGAGAGGUUGGUCCCCCACACUGGUACUGAGACACGGACCAGACUCCUACGGGAGGCAGCAGUGAGGAAUAUUGGUCAAUGGGCGGGAGCCUGAACCAGCCAAGUCGCGUGAAGGAAAGAAGGAUCUAUGGUUCGUAAACUUCUUUUGCAGGGGAAUAAAGUGCAGGACGUGUCCUGUUUUGUAUGUACCCUGAGAAUAAGGAUCGGCUAACUCCGUGCCAGCAGCUGC
rnacentral:rRNA from 1 species